rnacentral:rRNA from 1 species
GUUUGAUCCUGGCUCAGGACGAACGCUUGUGGCAUGCCUAAUACAUGCAAGUCGAACGCUGAAGCACUCUGCUUGCAGAGUGCGGAUGAGUGGCGAACGGGUGAGUAACACGUGGGGAAUCUGCCUAGGAGUGGGGGAUAACAUUCGGAAACGGAUGCUAAUACCGCAUAUCUUCUUAGACCGCAUGGUCUAUGAAUGAAAGACGGCUUUGCUGUCGCUCUUAGAUGAUCCCGCGGCGUAUUAGUUAGUUGGUGGGGUAAAGGCCUACCAAGACAAUGAUACGUAGCCGACCUGAGAGGGUGAUCGGCCACACUGGGACUGAGACACGGCCCAGACUCCUACGGGAGGCAGCAGUAGGGAAUCUUCCACAAUGGGUGCAAACCUGAUGGAGCAAUGCCGCGUGAAUGAAGAAGGUCUUCGGAUCGUAAAGUUCUGUUAUUAGUGAAGAACAAAUCGAGGAGUAACUGUCUCGAUUUUGACGGUAACUAACCAGAAAGUCACGGCUAACUACGUGCCAGCAGCCGCGGUAAUACGUAGGUGACAAGCGUUGUCCGGAAUUAUUGGGCGUAAAGGGAGCGCAGGCGGUUGGAAUAGUCUGAUGUGAAAGCCCACGGCUUAACCGUGGAAGGUCAUUGGAAACUGUCCAACUUGAAUGCAGAAGAGGUAAGUGGAAUUCCAUGUGUAGCGGUGAAAUGCGUAGAUAUAUGGAGGAACACCAGUGGCGAAGGCGACUUACUGGUCUGUAAUUGACGCUGAGGCUCGAAAGCGUGGGUAGCGAACAAAAGUAGAUACCCUGGUAGUCCACGCCGUAAA